GUAAGGCAGAGAACCACCUAGACAGAGUUUGGGUAAUGUCUCCGAGGGGAAAGGCAAGGUCAGAUUUUAUGGAGAAUAGGAAGUUUGGUUUAAGGUGGUCUUUCAAUGAGGGGGCGUGAUUGGGUAAGGGUAAUGACAUGAUGGUUUAGGAUUGGAAACAGCAAGACAAGGGUUUUGAGGUGAGGGAUUUGAAGAUCCUUAGGGUGUUAACUGUUUGUUGAUGCUUCCUGUGGAAGAGGUGAAGGGUCUUUUGGGGGAAGUUCCUGUAAUAUACAAUCAAGUUAUUUGCCUGGGCAAGAGUCUCCCAGGUAUUUCCUCCAGGCCAGACUGCACCAGGAUAUAACCUGAGGAUGUGGGAGCCUACAACUUCAACAUUGUUGAGUUACCAUUGUGUGUCAAUGCCAAGAUUCCUGCCUUCUGCCCUGCCCCCAGCACUUCUGAUGCUGCAUUGUAUCAGCACACGCAGAUGAAUCUCAGACCACCCAGAGCUAAGAAACUUCUCUUCAGAAUGGUCUCAUUUGGAGACAUUGAGAGGAAUGGCUUCCCUUCCUUCGCUGGAUUUUAGCAUAUUUUGGAGCAAGGAUAGAUGACAGCUUUGAGAAGAUGAGAUGCUGUGAGCGCUUCGGAACCCUCAGGUCAACUGCCUCUGCCUCUGCUUGCACGCCAGAAGGGAGCUUUCCCAGAACAGCACUCAGACCAUUUCCACACAGCCUCAGGAAGGAGAGCAUCACUGGUCAGGCUGUUUGUUGACAGCUGAUUGACAGCCUACCUCGUCUGUUACCUCUUGUCCUGGCUCGAGGGAGCUCAUCUCCCCUCUCCAUCUCUCCUCCCCUCUCUCUGCGGUUGCACCUGCCAAGAUCAGCUGAUAAAACUGAAGCCCCAACAGUUUGACUUGUCCGAGGUGACAUAGCGAAAACGGGAGUAGGACUCAAGAAUUGGAUCCAAGCCACCGUCUGACCGCCAUAUUGAAAUGCCUAUAUAAUAGACUCUCCCAGAUUCUGGCUCUGCUGAAGAAACCAAACGAAGGUCGAUAGGUUUACAGUCUCCUUCUCUACAAGAAUCUGUUACACCAAUGUCGUUAGUAAAGGCAGCUCUGCUCUCACUGUGGAGGACACAGCGAUCAUGUCUGUCCUAGGCUGCUCUGCUUCUUGCUCAUCAGCCUGGGCUUGCUUUCUCCUGUGCCUCUUGAAGGAUCUAGACAAUUACAGAAAGAACAGCAGGGCAUUACAUUUUCUUGGUAAGGUUAGGGUUUUGAGCUCUCUUUCUCUACUGCCAUGUUGGUCAUCAGCGCUCGCCCCAGCUCCCUGAUGUCCUCCUUGCUCCACGCCAGCAGCCUGGAGGAGUGCUUGCUGUCACAAAGCCUGGAGUCAUGGUCUGCCCCGCCACCUCCCUGGCUGGCU
rnacentral:lncRNA from 1 species